UCUGCCCAGAACCAUCCGGCGGUCCCCAGCCCCCAAGCUCUGGGACGGCUUCGGGGCUGCGCUAGCCAUUAAUGGACAUCAUCCAUUUUUAAUCAGAAAGAUCAGAAGAAAGAUGGUAAGCGAAUCCCAGUCGCAAGUCAAUUUAAAUAACAUUCCUGGGGAAAUCCAAUCACUUAAAACUGAGACACCUACGCGAGCAAGAGCCCCCGCCCGACUAGCAAGGAAGAGCGCGACGGCUGAAUUAAUCAAGAUCAGGGGGCUCCAGAGCUGAGCGCGGAGCGUUAACCCUUCCAGCUCCGGAGAGUGACAAGGGGGCUUGCAAAAGCGCGGACGGCCAGGGCGAAGAUGCCCACGGCAGCCACGCACAGGCUGCCUCUGCCAUCUUGGGCGGCUCCGAACGCCCAGAGCUCUACCCGGGAGGCUGGGCGCUCGCGGUUAAGGUCAGCAGCUCAGGAAGCCGCUCCGGCUGCGAGGAGAGGCCGCCUCCCGCAGCCUCUGCGCGCCUUGGGCUCCUCCUUCCGCCCAAGCGUGGCCAAGUGAGGACUGCUCCGGCCGCAGGUAGCCGAGGCGCGGAAGGCGGCGCGCUGGACCCAGAGGAGCGCCCGGGGAGGGGCCGACGGACACGCGGACAGACGGAUUCCCCCAACCCCCGCCCGGGACAUUAGCAACGGUCUGCGCGGGCCAUGUGGGGGCCCGGGGUCACAGCCGAGGGCCUGUCGGUGGCGCCCGCACCGCCGCCGCUGCUGCCGCUGCUGCUACUGCUGACGCUGGCGCUCGUGGCGCCCUCGCGGGGCGGCGGGGGCUGCGCGGACCUGGCGUGUGGCGAGCGGGAGCGCUGCUGCGACGCGGCCAACGCCACAGCGGUGCGCUGCUGCAAGCUGCCGCUGCACGCCUUCCUCGACAACGUGGGCUGGUUCGUCCGCAAGCUCUCGGGGCUGCUUAUCCUGCUAGUGCUCUUCGCCAUAGGCUACUUCCUGCAGCGCAUCAUCUGCCCCAGCCCACGCAGGUACCCGCGCGGUCAGGCGCGGCCCGGGCAAGCACGGCCCGGGCCGCCGGGGGGCGCGGGGCCGCCGGGGGCCGCGGGGCCGCCCGACGACGACGACGAUUCGCCCGCGCUAAUGCGCGACGAGGCGGCCACCGGCUCCCAGGACUCACUGCUGGACAGUGGAGGCGGGGGCCGGGGAGGCGGAGGGCGCUCGGUCCCCUCCUGCGCCUCCGAGCACGAGCUUCGCGUAGUCUCGCCGGUCUUCCUGCAGCUGCCCAGCUACGAGGAGGUCAAGUACCUGCCCACCUACGAGGAGUCCAUGCGGCUGCAGCAGCUCAGCCCCGGGGAGGUCGUACUGCCCGUGUCGGUGCUUGGCCGCCCACGAGGCGGCGGCGCCGGGGAGUCAGACGGCGGGGAGGGCCGCUUCCCGCUCAUCUGAGCGUCUACGGCCGCUGGAGGACCGCGCGGACAGAACGGGGCUAGGUGGGCUGCGGGUGGGACGCAACGGCCGAGGUGGUACCUGCCACCGCCAACUGCCUCAGACCCCGCCUGGUACCCGGGCCGAAUCGCCCGUCGCUCGGCGACUGGGCAGGAGUCACUCCCGUUUCCCCCCCCCCGCCCCGUUCCUCCCCCCCCCCCCCCCCCCGAGAUCUUAAGUUUCCCUACGUUUCAUUCGGUUCAAGGAAACGUUAGGCGCGCGCGGCGGGGGCCACAGCAGCGGACAACCCAGGAGCGCAACUUCGAAGACCGUCCCUACCCUCAGCCUCUGCUCAGACUGUGUUCACUCGAAUGACUCUGGAACCAUGUGAAGAGCUGCAGGAUUCGAUCAUCACUUGAACGGUGCCCUGUGAACAGCUCUCAACUGACUAACAAAUAGCUGCUCGGCUGAUAGACGGCAGUUUCAUCAUGAACACACAACAUGCUGUUUGGAAGGCCACCACUCUGACUAAAAAAGGACAGGUCAGAACAUUCCAUUUUAUUCCAUCUCCAAGGAGCAGCACUCCCACAUAGUCUACAAGCUCCACAAAAACAGAAGCCAUAUCUGACUCAGCAUCCAGUAUAAUACCUGGCCCAGAGAAUGACUCUGGAACCAUGUGAAGAGCUGCAGGAUUCGAUCAUCACUUGAACGGUGCCCUGUGAACAGCUCUCAACUGACUAACAAAUAGCUGCUCGGCUGAUAGACGGCAGUUUCAUCAUGAACACACAACAUGCUGUUUGGAAGGCCACCACUCUGACUAAAAAAGAUGCAAAUGCUCAGAGUACUAUAAAAGAAGUGGAGAAGAUAUUACACAGAUAUGGACCAUUGAGUGUAAUUCCUUCCGACCAAGGAAGGAACACACUUUACAGCUCAUCAUGUCCAACAAUGGGCAGAGAUAUAGUUUCUGAGAGUAGUGGUUUGGUAAUUAGAAUUAGAAUGGGCAAAAAAACAAUGACUGUCUAAAAUGAGAAGAGAGGGAAUAUAGGCAUGAAGAACUAGCUUACACGUCUUCAUGAGUGUGUACUCACAUUCAACAUGAAGUGAACAAAGAGUGUGUCCAUACUAGAUAAAUUCCUCUACAAUUUCAGUGGAAAUAGGGAACAGGUGGUGAAGAGGAUGCUAGUAUGACUAUGCAAUUUUUCCCACAGUGGGAGAAUAUUGGUAUGAUACCUAUGCUUUUUUCUUUCUUCCCCACAUCACCUCAAUGUUCUUCUUAACUUGAUACAGUGGUCACAGGACAAAGGAUACAAUUACAAUUAUCAAAAGCAGAGAUGAUUCCUAGGCUGUUUUAACCUUCAUGUCUAUAUUUCUAAGGACCUGAUGGAGUAGGUUGUGCUUUCACUCCAUCUGGCAAAUUUGGGGUUAAAUGUGAGUGCAGCUAUACUGCCUAGUGGUAGAGAUAGCCCACUAGCUCUAUACAAAUGGAGAGAAAGAGAAAUAAUGGCUGAAAAUCAAAGAAUAACUAAAUGGGCAUGCAAUGGGGGAAUCCAAUUUUAUAUUAAUUCUUCAAAAGAGUCUCAGCGCAAAAGCUAGUAUUAUUUG